rnacentral:rRNA from 1 species
UACGUAGGGGGCUAGCGUUGUCCGGAUUUAUUGGGCGUAAAGAGCGUGUAGGCGGCCAGGUAGGUCUGCUGUGAAAACUCGAGGCUUAACCUCGAGCUGUCGGCGGAAACCAUUUGGCUAGAGUCCGGAAGAGGAAAGUGGAAUUCCUGGUGUAGCGGUGAAAUGCGCAGAUAUCAGGAAGAACACCAAUGGCGAAAGCGGCUUCCUGGUCCAGCACCGACGUUCAGGCACGAAAGCGUGGGGAGCAAACAGG